rnacentral:rRNA from 1 species
AACGAACGCUGGCGGCAUGCCUAACACAUGCAAGUCGAACGAGACCUUCGGGUCUAGUGGCGCACGGGUGCGUAACGCGUGGGAACCUGCCCUUAGGUUCGGAAUAACUCCCCGAAAGGGGUGCUAAUACCGGAUAAUGUCUUCGGACCAAAGAUUUAUCGCCUUAGGAUGGGCGCGCGUUGGAUUAGCUAGUUGGUAGGGUAAAAGCCUACUAAGGCGACGAUCCAUAGCUGGUCUGAGAGGAUGCUCAGCCACACUGGGACUGAGACACGGCCCAGACUCCUACGGGAGGCAGGAGUGGGGAAUAUUGGACAAUGGGCGAAAGGCUGAUGCAGCAAUGCCGCGUGAGUGAUGAAGUCCUUAGAGUUGUAAAGCUCUUUUACCCGGGAUGAUAAUGACAGUACCGGGAGAAUAAGCUCCGGCUAACUCCGUG